UUAUCAUUUUUCCACCUCCCGCUUCCUGUUUCUCUCGAUUUUUCUCUGUGUUCAUCCCAAAACCCUCCAUUUCAUUUCUCUUUCUCCUGAAAUGCCAUUCCCUUCUUCGACCCAAGCUUCGCCCUUCUCUCCGUCUCCCUUUUCUUCUUCAACCCGCAAGCCAUUUUCAGAAUAAUCCCCAUUCUUGCUACCUCGCUCUUCCUCAGCCUGCAAGUGUCCGUCCUUCUCUCCAGCGUUUGCAUUCUCCAAUAGUUGCUUUCGUUUUCGUUCUCUCCAACAUAAGUCUCUCUUCUCUCCCUCUUCUCUGAUUCUGGAUCUCUAUUCUCAGUGUUGUGCCGUCGUUAUAGAUCCCUCUUCUCUGAUUAUGAUUUCAUCUUCAACAGCUCGAUUAAAUCACUUCCUCUUUUGCAUUGCAAGGACAAAUAAAUGGACUGAAUUGGGGUCUCCACGAAUCAUCUAGAAGGUUUUUCAAUUUCCUCCACAAACUGGGUUGGCUCUAACGUAUAUGGCAUCUGCCGAUCAUCAAAUCUGCCAUAAUAGUUAUGCCUUUCGGAAUACAAGGCCUCGGGAGUCUUCUUGUGCUGGUGAUGAGGCUUUUUCUUUUUACCUUGUUCGUAUCUGUCUAGCGUGAGAGCUUGGACUAGUGAAAUCCAUGGAAGAGUUGCUUGUGACGUCUGCAAUGAUUCCUCCAUUUGACCCGAAGAUCAUGUUCUUGAAGAUUAACAAACAUAUUUGAUAGCUCCUGCCAGACUGCCAAUUCUCAUCUCACGAUCCCAUGGAACACCAUUUCUUUACACCUUACUCCUUUAUCUACACGUAGAGUAAAUUUUUGGUUUCGCCACUAUACCCGAAGAAGAAGAAGAAGAAGAAGAAACACGAAGUUCUUACAAGAGAGAAGAAACAUGAAGCUCCAGUAAGCAGCUUAGAAACGAAAUAAGAAAUGUUUCUUUGAAAUUUGAAGAACAAACUUUUAUAAUUUCAUCUU